AACCUACUCCCUCCGUUCCAAAUUACUCGUCGUAGAAAUGGAUGUAUCUAGAACUAAAAUACAUCUAGAUACAUCCAUACUUGCGACAAGUAAUUCGGAACGGAGGGAGUAUAAG
rnacentral:pre_miRNA from 1 species